rnacentral:rRNA from 1 species
UACGUAGGGGCCAAGCGUUGUCCGGAUUUAUUGGGCGUAAAGAGCUCGUAGGCGGUUGGGUAAGUCGGGUGUGAAAACUCCAGGCUCAACUUGGAGAUGCCACCCGAUACUGCUCUGACUUGAGUUCGGUAGGGGAGUGGGGAAUUCCUGGUGUAGCGGUGAAAUGCGCGGAUAUCAGGAGGGACACCGGUGGCGAAGGCGCCACUCUGGGCCGAAACUGACGCUGAGGAGCGAAAGCGUGGGUAGCAAACAGG